GACGAACGCUGGCGGCGUGCUUAACACAUGCAAGUCGAACGGAAAGGCCCUGCUUUUGUGGGGUGCUCGAGUGGCGAACGGGUGAGUAACACGUGAGUAACCUGCCCUUGACUUUGGGAUAACUUCAGGAAACUGGGGCUAAUACCGGAUAGGAGCUCCUGCUGCAUGGUGGGGGUUGGAAAGUUUCGGCGGUUGGGGAUGGACUCGCGGCUUAUCAGCUUGUUGGUGGGGUAGUGGCUUACCAAGGCUUUGACGGGUAGCCGGCCUGAGAGGGUGACCGGCCACAUUGGGACUGAGAUACGGCCCAGACUCCUACGGGAGGCAGCAGUGGGGAAUAUUGCACAAUGGGCGGAAGCCUGAUGCAGCAACGCCGCGUGCGGGAUGACGGCCUUCGGGUUGUAAACCGCUUUCGCCUGUGACGAAGCGUGAGUGACGGUAAUGGGUAAAGAAGCACCGGCUAACUACGUGCCAGCAGCCGCGGUGAUACGUAGGGUGCGAGCGUUGUCCGGAUUUAUUGGGCGUAAAGGGCUCGUAGGUGGUUGAUCGCGUCGGAAGUGUAAUCUUGGGGCUUAACCCUGAGCGUGCUUUCGAUACGGGUUGACUUGAGGAAGGUAGGGGAGAAUGGAAUUCCUGGUGGAGCGGUGGAAUGCGCAGAUAUCAGGAGGAACACCAGUGGCGAAGGCGGUUCUCUGGGCCUUUCCUGACGCUGAGGAGCGAAAGCGUGGGGAGCGAACAGGCUUAGAUACCCUGGUAGUCCACGCUGUAAACGGUGGGUACUAGGUGUGGGGUCCAUUCCACGGGUUCCGUGCCGUAGCUAACGCUUUAAGUACCCCGCCUGGGGAGUACGGCCGCAAGGCUAAAACUCAAAGGAAUUGACGGGGCCCCGCACAAGCGGCGGAGCAUGCGGAUUAAUUCGAUGCAACGCGUAGAACCUUACCUGGGUUUGACAUGGAUCGGGAGUGCUCAGAGAUGGGUGUGCCUCUUUUGGGGUCGGUUCACAGGUGGUGCAUGGCUGUCGUCAGCUCGUGUCGUGAGAUGUUGGGUUAAGUCCCGCAACGAGCGCAACCCUUGUUCACUGUUGCCAGCACGUUAUGGUGGGGACUCAGUGGAGACCGCCGGGGUCAACUCGGAGGAAGGUGGGGAUGACGUCAAGUCAUCAUGCCCCUUAUGUCCAGGGCUUCACGCAUGCUACAAUGGCUGGUACAGAGAGUGGCGAGCCUGUGAGGGUGAGCGAAUCUCGGAAAGCCGGUCUCAGUUCGGAUUGGGGUCUGCAACUCGACCUCAUGAAGUCGGAGCCGCUAGUAAUCGCAGAUCAGCAACGCUGCGGUGAAAACGUUCCCGGGGCU
rnacentral:rRNA from 1 species